rnacentral:rRNA from 1 species
AGCGGCGGACGGGUGAGUAAUACUUAGGAAUCUGCCUAUUAAUGGGGGACAACAUCUCGAAAGGGAUGCUAAUACCGCAUACGCCCUACGGGGGAAAGCAGGGGAUCACUUGUGACCUUGCGUUAAUAGAUGAGCCUAAGUCGGAUUAGCUAGUUGGUGGGGUAAAGGCCUACCAAGGCGACGAUCUGUAGCGGGUCUGAGAGGAUGAUCCGCCACACUGGGACUGAGACACGGCCCAGACUCCUACGGGAGGCAGCAGUGGGGAAUAUUGGACAAUGGGGGGAACCCUGAUCCAGCCAUGCCGCGUGUGUGAAGAAGGCCUUAUGGUUGUAAAGCACUUUAAGCGAGGAGGAGGCUCUCUUGGUUAAUACCCAAGAAGAGUGGACGUUACUCGCAGAAUAAGCACCGGCUAACUCUGUGCCAGCAGCCGCGGUAAUACAGAGGGUGCGAGCGUUAAUCGGAUUUACUGGGCGUAAAGCGUGCGUAGGCGGCUUUUUAAGUCGGAUGUGAAAUCCCCGAGCUUAACUUGGGAAUUGCAUUCGAUACUGGGAAGCUAGAGUAUGGGAGAGGAUGGUAGAAUUCCAGGUGUAGCGGUGAAAUGCGUAGAGAUCUGGAGGAAUACCGAUGGCGAAGGCAGCCAUCUGGCCUAAUACUGACGCUGAGGUACGAAAGCAUGGGGAGCAAACAGGAUUAGAUACCCUGGUAGUCCAUGCCGUAAACGAUGUCUACUAGCCGUUGGGGCCUUUGAGGCUUUAGUGGCGCAGCUAACGCGAU